UUCAACGAUACAUCAAACGAUCACAAAUCGUAUCUAAUCGAAGAUAUUUUCUGAAAAAUUGAAAAAUUUCCCUCGUUCCCCGUAAAUGGAGGGAAACCUCCAAAAAAAUUACAAAUUUAAAAAUCGCUCAUUUUUUCAAUUUUUUUACUUAAAACUGCUAUAACUUUUUUAAAAAUCAACAAAUUAAUUAAAUUAAUUUUUAGUUCGAUGUGCUUUAAAAGCGUGUUUUUUAGUUUUUUUAAACUAUAUUUAUUUUUAUUGAAACCUUAGAUAUUUCUCUUUCAUUCUACUACAAGUAGUCGUGGAUUUUAUAUCAAAAAGUAUUUUAUAGGAGAGUAAUGAUAAACAAGUUUAAAAAUAUAAGCGAUUUGAAAUUGUAAUUCAUCAAAGAAGUUAACAGCCUAGCUGAAUUGUGAUCGAUAAAUGUAGCAUGGUGUAACUACGCGCAAGAUAAUCUAAAACACCAAAACUACACAAUGAACAAGCAAUCUUCUCACUAGUUUAACUCCCCUUCAGAUCGAUAAAAGACGAGAUUAAAUUUUUUCAUAUAGUUACCAUGAUGCGCAUAAUCGAACAAGGAAUACCUUUUAUCGAUAUAACGUUUGCAAAUAUUGAAGUCAAAAUGUGCCGUUCAAAAUUUACUGUUUAUCAUCGCGUGGUUCGACAAAUUAAGUUGAAAAAGUUGCCAUUUUGAAACCCUCCUUAUGGGCAUGUAAAGGGUCAAAUGUUCACAAAAAUAUACCAAAUUAUAGGAAGCAAUACAGGAACAUUUUUGGUACAUAAAUCAGACAUAGAUUAAAUUUUGAAAGAAAUCCAUAAUGACAUAAUGAAUAAGGAGACAAUACACUUUUUGCUCAACACCACAUGGUUUGGUUUCAUUUUUCGUUAUGAAAUACUACCAAAUGAUUUACGGGACGAAUGAAUGAAUUAAAUUGAUAUGUGAACU